ACAUACAUUCAUACAUAUACAUUGUGGUCUAUAAGGGCCGAUGCAUGUAUUCACAGAUUGAUCUAAAAGGGCCUAUACAUUGAUUAAAUGAGUUUAUAUGAAAACAUGCAUAGUCAUUGCCUUUGAGUUAUUCUGUUGUUAUGUUGGUUUUGUGUAUAUACAUAUAGAUGAUGAUUCAUUGUCAGGUUUUAGGUUUCAGGUACAGGACUGAGUAGGUUGUUUCUGAUUAUUCUAUUUGAGUUGAUACUCCUUUAUAUACAUUCAGCUACCCCUCAUCUCUUGAGUUGACAUUUAUAUUCAGAUUAUUUCAGUCCUGCCUUACAUACUCGGUACAUUGUUCGUACUGACGUCCCUUUGCCUGGGGGCGCUGCGUUCAUGUCGCACAGUCCCAGAGUGUUUUGCAGGUAUACGUGUUCAGCUAGGAUGUCGAUUAUCAGCUAGGAUUGGUAACUCUACUUCUUCCUGGAGUAGUGCCGAGUCAUUACGAUUAUUAUAUGAUAGUAUGGGUACGUCGGGGCCCUGUCCCGGCUUAUAUGAUUCAGUUAUUCAUUCUUAGAGACUUUGCAGAUAGUGUCAUGUAAUUAGUACGUUGAUCUGGUGUUGAGUAAAUCGACUAUGUAGGUCGACAUGUUAGUUUGAUUUAAAAAAUUGACUAUCAUUAUAGGUUUAUGUGAUUGCGAGCAAGAGUAGUAUAUUA